rnacentral:rRNA from 1 species
CCACUUCGGUGGGGAUUAGUGGCGAACGGGUGAGUAACACGUGGGCAAUCUGCCCUUCACUCUGGGACAAGCCCUGGAAACGGGGUCUAAUACCGGAUGAUACUUCCACUCGCAUGGGUGGGGGUUGAAAGCUCCGGCGGUGAAGGAUGAGCCCGCGGCCUAUCAGCUUGUUGGUGAGGUAGUGGCUCACCAAGGCGACGACGGGUAGCCGGCCUGAGAGGGCGACCGGCCACACUGGGACUGAGACACGGCCCAGACUCCUACGGGAGGCAGCAGUGGGGAAUAUUGCACAAUGGGCGAAAGCCUGAUGCAGCGACGCCGCGUGAGGGAUGACGGCCUUCGGGUUGUAAACCUCUUUCAGCAGGGAAGAAGCGAAAGUGACGGUACCUGCAGAAGAAGCGCCGGCUAACUACGUGCCAGCAGCCGCGGUAAUACGUAGGGCGCAAGCGUUGUCCGGAAUUAUUGGGCGUAAAGAGCUCGUAGGCGGUCUGUCGCGUCGGAUGUGAAAGCCCGGGGCUUAACCCCGGGUCUGCAUUCGAUACGGGCAGACUAGAGUGUGGUAGGGGAGAUCGGAAUUCCUGGUGUAGCGGUGAAAUGCGCAGAUAU